UACGGAGGGGGCUAGCGUUGUUCGGAAUUACUGGGCGUAAAGCGCACGUAGGCGGCUUUGUAAGUUAGAGGUGAAAGCCCAGGGCUCAACCCUGGAAUUGCCUUUAAGACUGCAUCGCUAGAAUUGUGGAGAGGUAAGUGGAAUUCCGAGUGUAGAGGUGAAAUUCGUAGAUAUUCGGAAGAACACCAGUGGCGAAGGCGGCUCACUGGCCCGGUACUGACGCUGAGGUGCGAAAGCGUGGGGAGCAAACAGG
rnacentral:rRNA from 1 species